rnacentral:rRNA from 1 species
AGGAAUAUUGGUCAAUGGACGAGAGUCUGAACCAGCCAAGUAGCGUGAAGGAUGACUGCCCUAUGGGUUGUAAACUUCUUUUAUACGGGAAUAAAGUGAGGCACGUGUGCCUUUUUGUAUGUACCGUAUGAAUAAGGAUCGGCUAACUCCGUGCCAGCAGCCGCGGUAAUACGGAGGAUCCGAGCGUUAUCCGGAUUUAUUGGGUUUAAAGGGAGCGUAGGCGGACGCUUAAGUCAGUUGUGAAAGUUUGCGGCUCAACCGUAAAAUUGCAGUUGAUACUGGGUGCCUUGAGUACAGUAGAGGCAGGCGGAAUUCGUGGUGUAGCGGUGAAAUGCUUAGAUAUCACGAAGAACUCCGAUUGCGAAGGCAGCUUGCUGGACUGUAACUGACGCUGAUGCUCGAAAGUGUGGGUAUCAAACAGGAUUAGAUACCCUGGUAGUCCACACAGUAAACGAUGAAUACUCGCUGUUUGCGAUAUACAGUAAGCGGCCAAGCGAAAGCGUUAAGUAUUCCACCUGGGGAGUACGCCGGCAACGGUGAAACUCAAAGGAAUUGACGGGGGCCCGCACAAGCGGAGGAACAUGUGGUUUAAUUCGAUGAUACGCGAGGAACCUUACCCGGGCUUGAAUUGCAACUGAAUGAUGUGGAGACAUGUCAGCCGCAAGGCAGUUGUGAAGGUGCUGCAUGGUUGUCGUCAGCUCGUGCCGUGAGGUGUCGGCUUAAGUGCCAUAACGAGCGCAACCCUUAUCGAUAGUUACCAUCAGGUUAUGCUGGGGACUCUGUCGAGACUGCCGUCGUAAGAUGUGAGGAAGGUGGGGAUGACGUCAAAUCAGCACGGCCCUUACGUCCGGGGCUACACACGUGUUACAAUGGGGGGUACAGAAGGCAGCUACACGGCGACGUGAUGCUAAUCCCGAAAGCCUCUCUCAGUUCGGAUUGGAGUCUGCAACCCGACUCCAUGAAGCUGGAUUCGCUAGUAAUCGCGCAUCAGCCACGGCGCGGUGAAUACGUUCCCG